CACCUACGGGAGGCAGCAGUGAGGAAUAUUGGUCAAUGGACGAGAGUCUGAACCAGCCAAGUAGCGUGAAGGAUGACUGCCCUAUGGGUUGUAAACUUCUUUUAUAUGGGAAUAAAACAGGGUAUGCAUACCCUCUUGUAUGUACCAUAUGAAUAAGGAUCGGCUAACUCCGUGCCAGCAGCCGCGGUAAUACGGAGGAUGCGAGCGUUAUCCGGAUUUAUUGGGUUUAAAGGGUGCGUAGGAGGGCUGUUAAGUCAGCGGUCAAAUGUCGGGGCUCAACCCCGGCCUGCCGUUGAAACUGGCGG
rnacentral:rRNA from 1 species